rnacentral:rRNA from 1 species
UACGAAGGGUGCUAGCGUUGUUCGGAAUUACUGGGCGUAAAGCGCGCGUAGGCGGCUUGGAAAGUUGGAGGUGAAAUCCCGGGGCUCAACCCCGGAACUGCCUCCAAAACUCUCAAGCUAGAGACAUGGAGAGGUGAGUAGAAUUCCUAGUGUAGAGGUGAAAUUCGUAGAUAUUAGGAAGAAUACCAGUGGCGAAGGCGGCUCACUGGCCAUGUACUGACGCUGAGGUGCGAAAGCGUGGGGAGCGAACAGG